CGAAAGCCUGACGGAGCAACGCCGCGUGAGGGAUGAAGGCCUCUGGGCUGUAAACCUCUUUUAUCAAGGAAGAAGAACUGACGGUACUUGAUGAAUAAGCCACGGCUAAUUCCGUGCCAGCAGCCGCGGUAAUACGGGAGUGGCAAGCGUUAUCCGGAAUUAUUGGGCGUAAAGCGUCCGCAGGCGGUUUUACAAGUCUGUCGUUAAAGCGUGGAGCUCAACUCCAUUUCAGCGAUGGAAACUGUAAGACUCGAGUGUGGUAGGGGCAGAGGGAAUUCCCGGUGUAGCGGUGAAAAGCGUAGAUAUCGGGAAGAACACCAGUGGCGAAAGCGCUCUGCUGGGCCAUAACUGACGCUCAUGGACGAAAGCCAGGGGAGCGAAAG
rnacentral:rRNA from 1 species